rnacentral:rRNA from 1 species
GACGAACGCUGGCGGCAUGCUUAACACAUGCAAAUCGAACGAUGAAGUUCCUUCGGGAAUGGAUUAGUGGCGAACGGGUGAGGAACACGUGAGAAACCUGCCUUUCAUUUUGGGAUAACUCCGGGAAACCGGGGCUAAAACCGAAUACUCCGUCUCGGCGGCAUCGCUGAGCCGGGAAAAAAUUUUGAUGAAAGAUGGUCUCGCGGCCUAUCAGCUAGUUGGUGAGGUAAUGGCUCACCAAGGCAACGACGGGUAGCCGGCCUGAGAGGGCGGCCGGCCAGCCUGGGACUGAGACACGGCCCAGACUCCUACGGGAGGCAGCAGUGGGGAAUAUUGGGCAAUGGGCGCAAGCCUGACCCAGCGACGCCGCGUGAGGGAUGAAGGCCUUCGGGUUGUAAACCUCUUUCAGUAGGGAAGAAGCGAGAGUGACGGUACCUAAAGAAGAAGCACCGGCUAACUAUGUGCCAGCCGCCGCCGUAA